rnacentral:lncRNA from 1 species
UGUUCAACCUGAUUUGGUAAAGGUACCAGUGAAAGGCUAUAUAGGAGUACAUGGCGAGUAGUUUCAUUGGAACCGUCCUUAGGAACUGAGUUCCGUGUAUGUAAUCCAAGACGAGAUACUACCACAUGCUGGGCCCUGAAAUAUGACCCCGCUCGACUUAUUAAUCGCUUAGUACUCGGUGCAGGAGUUGCAAGUAGUUUCUGGUGUUUAUAGUCAUGCUCGAGGCCGUGCAUAGCGCUGACCUAAGAGGUGGGUUGUGUUGCACUAGGCAGUUGCACGGUGUACCAAGUGGCACCCAGAUGGUGGGCUUGGGAACCCUGCGCACAUCGUUUGGGGCCGUGGCGGAAACCUCGGCCGGACUUCCGUGCGGGUUACCCUCAGAUAGGCGAUAGACCUGGACCAAGUAUUAGCGUGGUUAAGGUCGUGGCCGACUCCCUCGCUGGGCUUCCGCUUGAAGGUUGCCGAGGUGCAUGACGUGCACAUGGCGAUAAGUGGCGAGAGCGUGUGUGAAGAAGUACACCUCCUACAGGGUUAUGAUCUAUUCGAAUAGCCGCGUCCGCGGAUAUGGACUACUUGGAGACAUAUGUUGUUCAUAGAUAACUUCAAUGGCUACUCAUAAAAUUGCCAAGAUAAGCGUGAGUGUCGUGGACGGCAUUUCCCUAUGGAGACGGAAUGAUUCCACGAUGGAGUAUUGUUGUGGUGUUAGUAGACUCGUGUGCGAGAAAUCAAGUUGUCAAAAAUUGUUUGAAAGGACGUGGAUGUCGCCUAGAGGGGGGGGGUGAAUAGGCGCUUUAAAAUAAUUAAGGUUUAGGCUUGAACAAAUGCGGAAUAAAACUAACGUUUAGUAUAUCAAGCACAAAACCUCAAACAACUAGGCUCACCUAUGUGCACCAACAACUUAUGCUAAGCAAGAUAAACAACUAAGUCAUAGCAAGAUAUAUGACAAGAGACAAUAUGGCUAUCACAAAGUAAAGUGCAUAAGCAAAGGGUUCGGGUAAGAGAUAACCGAGGUACGCGGAGAUGAUGAUGUAUCCCGAAGUUCACACCCUUGCGGAUGCUAAUCUCCGUUGGAGCGGUGUGGAGGCACAAUGCUCCCCAAGAUGCCACUAAGGCCACCGUAAUCUCCUCACGCCCUCGCACAAUGCAAGAUGCCGUGAUUCCACUAAGGUACCCUUGAGGGCGGUCAUCGAACCCGUACAAAUGGCAAACCUUGGGGGCGGUUACCGAACCCGUACACGUGGCAUCCCUUGGGGGCGGUUCCCGGUACCCGUACAAAUUGCUCGGGGCAAUCUCCACAACCUAAUUGGAGACCCCGACGCUUGCCCGGAGCUUCACACCACAAUGGUUGAGCUCCGAGACACCACCAAGCUUCUAGGACGUCAAAGCACCCACGAAGAACAAUAUCUAGGGUACUAAG